UUAAACGGACAAUUUCUUUCUUUAUUCAAGUAUCGUUGCCAGUGGAAUGCCACCCACAUUGCGAGGUUGGUAAACAAGGAGCAUGCUUUAUUCCUGAGAACAAUCAAUGCCAAUGCUACUGCGUUGAAAAUGUAAGUCACUGCGAGAUUGUACGACGACAUCAUCAUUGCCCCAACAACGAGAUUCACCUAUGUAAUAUUAGGGGCGACGUAUGCGAGUGCAGUUGUGUACCUGUGGGAUUGUGGUGAGCUCAAGAAAUAUGGAGGACCUUAAUCGCUCGACAGCUUCUACGCAAAAUGAAAAGAACUGUAUACGGAGAUGUACAUGAAAUAAAUAUCUCGAAAUAAUUGAGAUGCUUGAUUCGUUGUG